AAAGUAUAAACGCCCCUUCUCGCCUUGGGGUGCGAUUUCAGGGUUCGAAUAGAGCAUCAUCGAUGGAGCCCCAUUCGAUCGGGUGCUCAGUCGCCGACAUAGGCGGCCAUCGGAAUCCUUGGAGGCCCCGAUCGGUGUCAAAUUUGGUGAAAGAAAAACUACCGUGUGGAAAGCUCUCUUUGACAUGAUUUUAGCAGGUAUACAUAAGCUUUUAAACUCAAAAUUAGAUCAUAGUAGUAUGUCCCUUUUUAUCUAAUUGGCUCUGGAUACUUCUCUUCCUGUGCAUUGCUUUGACUUGAAAGUUGAGUGGUUUAACCUCUGCAUGUAAAUUAAGUUGGAACAGAAUCUCAUUGGUAAUGUUGUCUUUACAGAAGUUAUAGGAACUUGUUAAUGGAAGUUACUGUGACAUACUAUUGAUUAGGUGGUAUUUUGUCUCCUUCCAUGUUGAUGCUAAAUAUGCUGCUCCCCUUUGGUGAUGGCAAAUUAUGCUUGUGCCAUGGACCGCCAUUUGUGGACCAUUUCUAUUGACACAUCACUGUUGGUAGAAGGUUAUGCAUCGAAUGUCAUUGUACAUUUCAGAAUGUGGAGCAUCCCAUAAUGGGUCAAUUUCAGCUAUAUUAAUUGAAACAAGACAAUAGCCAUACUGGCGAUGGUGGUUUUUGGGGGUACUCUUGUUUGGACCAAUGGCAAAAUAGGGUCACUUUGAGAUUAGGCAUUCAUAUCUUGAAGGUAUCAUAACCACUUACCCAUUUCUGGAUAUCACAUUGCAGGCUUGUAUGCUUACUUUCAAGGUGAAAUCUUUGCGAACUUUUAUCGGGCCAAAUUAGUUGCUCUUUCAUUAAGACACUGAAAGAAACAUUUUUUGCAGUUUGUGCUAUACUGUUUCAAACUGGUACUGGUCGUCAGUGACGUUAGGUAGCGUUGCAUUUUGAAGCACAGUGCAAACUAAUACUUGGUCCUCACAAGAAGGUUGGUCAGUUGAACCAAGUGUUUCCUUUUCUUUUUCUUUAAUCAAGGUGUGGUUAAAGCCUAACUAAAGCUGUCAUAGUCAAGGCAUAAUUUCCAUUUAUAUUGGUUAACAAUGGUAUGGUCAAGAGAAUUCAUGGAGAUGUAACCAUUCCUAGAUCCUUGAAUAUAUUGUUUUAAUUUCAGACUUUGUUUUUACCUUAUACACGUCACGUUUGUAAAUUUUACUCUUUAAUAAUCAUCUUUAGAGUUUCAAGAAUCUUUCAUCAAAAAUAAACUAUAGAAAAAAGGAUCUCUUUGAACACUUAAUAGGUGAAAUAAUAAAAGUAGGUGAUAAUUUACUUAAAAUAAUUUCAUUCAAAAGCUGUUGGUGUUGGAAAUAGGAACACAGAAAAUGCCAAGGGCAAAGGGUUUUUCUGAAGUGUGGUCCCAAAGACAAAAGGAGUGAAAAUGGCAAAAAAAAAAAAAAAAAACAGAGGUUCAAAUACUAUAUAUUUGAUAUUUUAUUUGUUGCUGUGGUUAAAUGAACUCAAAGGAUUGAUAUGCAUUAUUCUUUGGGUCUUUAGAAAUUAAUAUGCUAUAGCAAAGAAUUUAAACAUUUAUGUGCAAAUCCCGAAGACUUCAGUACUAGGAUGCCAUGAAUGCAAAGAAUAUUUUGGUUCAGAAAAAAAAAUGAUCCUGUUUAUAUGAAAAUAGAAAAAAAUGUACAGGCAUGAAAUGUCUAAAAACUUGACAUUCUCUUUGGUAACUGCCCUUGUUAAAUUUUGGUGUGGCUAGCAGAAUUUAGCAGAUGGGUAGGAUUGUUGUAGCAUCUCUAUGCUCAUUUAGGUUUAUAUCAGUUCUAGAAAAGAGUUUUUUAUACUAAUGCAUUUACAGAUGUUUGAGCUUAAUACUUGAAAUGCUGCACCAGGGUUUUAGAUUAUGUCCGACAUAGAUCAUGAUGCAUGCAUCCCAUGGGACAAAUGUACCUCAUCAUCCUUACUAUUGCUCCUUGUCUUCUUAUCUUGUCUCAUUGAAACCAUACCAGGCAAUUAUAUAAUAGAUUGCAUGAGUAGAAUUCAAGCCAUGUGAUGUGUGUCACUUGCCAUGUGAGUAACUGUACCAUGGCAUGUACCUUGAAGAUUAUACACCUGAGCAUCCGUUAAUGCAUUACUGUCUUUUUCCUUCCAUCUUCUUCUUACAUUUUCUUUGUGAUUAUUGCAGCAAAUGAUCAAAACAGUGGAUUUUGCACCGGAGACGCCCGGACCUUCUCCCCUUCGUACCUGAGGA